CAAACCAAAGCUGGCGACCGGCGCACGGGUGAGUAACACGUAUCCAACCUGCCUCAUACUCGGGGAUAGCCUUUCGAAAGAAAGAUUAAUAUCCGAUAGCAUAUAUUUCCCGCAUGGGUUUUAUAUUAAAGAAAUUCGGUAUGAGAUGGGAUGCGUUCCAUUAGUUUGUUGGGGGGGUAACGGCCCACCAAGACUACGAUGGAUAGGGGUUCUGAGAGGAAGGUCCCCCACAUUGGAACUGAGACACGGUCCAA
rnacentral:rRNA from 1 species